rnacentral:rRNA from 1 species
CGGUGUUGUUGUGAGAAGUUCAUUAAACCUUAUCAUUUAGAGGAAGGAGAAGUCGUAACAAGGUUUCCGUAGGUGAACCUGCGGAAGGAUCAUUGAACACACGAUCUCGGAAAAACCCUGUGAACUGUGCCAUGUAUCUCGAGGGAUCGUGUUGGGAGGCACGAUCGUCGGACCCGGACUCAAGGAUUCAUGCGCGUCCGCCGUGAUCCUCUUACUGGUGCGUGUUGGGACUAAUGCGUCUCCGGAGUGCCGUCGGAACACUCCUCCACACGCGUGGCUUCGGGUUUCGCUUGCAGCGUGGAGAGGAUCUUCGAUCCUUCUCGACCUUGUCCGUGGCACCCGAAGUCGGGAGUGCGUUCCCCUCCUCCGAGGGGGAGUCGGGAGUCCCGGGGAUCCUCCUGGUGGCUCCCUUCUCUCCCUUCGGUGCCCCUUUUUCCCCAAAGAGGAACCUGUUGAAACGAGUUUUGGUGGACUGAGAUGGGACGAAGGGGUCCGGAUCCUUCUUGGACGGAUUCCCUGAGUCCCAAGGAAAGCGAAAUGACGCAAAUGACUCUCAAGCCACGGAUAUCUUGGCUCUUGCAACGAUGAAGAACGCAGCGAAAUGCGAUACCUAGUGUGAAUUGCAGAAUUCCGCGAAUCAUCGAGUUUUUGAACGCAAGUUGCGCCCGAGGCUCGUUCCGAGGGCAUGCCUGCCUGAGCGUCCGCUUUGACCCACCCGCGAGCCUCUCCUCCUCCUCCUCUCGAUCUCGGGGGGAGGAUGGAGGAGUUGGGGAGUGCGAGUGGAAUUUGGUCGUCCGGGAACCCGACCGUCACCCUGUGGUGACUGUCGAGGGAUUCGCGGUUGGCUGAAAAUUGGGAACCGUCCGUCAAGCGCGCGCAGGGGAUUGGUGGUGUGUCGCGAGAAGGUGCCGUCCUCUCCUCGUCUUGAACGAGAGAUGGACGUUUGUGACGAAAGCGUCGCGCUCCCCCUGCGGAGUCUCGACUUGGCGGACUGGUGGGACUUGAAGCAUGGGAACGCGAGGGCCCGGGCUCCCUCCCAGCUCGCCCCCCUCGAAUCCGAGGUGGGACUUGCUGGGACGCAUCGGCCCAAGUGUGACGUUCUUCGGACCUCAGAUCAGGCAAGACCACCCGCUGAGUUUAAGCAUAUCACUAAGCGGAGGAGAAGAAACUAACAAGG